rnacentral:rRNA from 1 species
UACGGGGGGGGCAAGCGUUGUUCGGGAUUACUGGGCGUAAAGGGCUCGUAGGCGGCCAACUAAGUCAGACGUGAAAUCCCUCGGCUUAACCGGGGAACUGCGUCUGAUACUGGAUGGCUUGAAUCCGGGAGAGGGAUGCGGAAUUCCAGGUGUAGCGGUGAAAUGCGUAGAGAUCAUGAGGAAGACCAGUGGCGAAGGCGGGUCUCUGGACAGUUCCUGACACUGAGGCACGAAGGCCAGGGGAGCAAACGGG